GACGAACGCUGGCGGUUGUGCUUAACACAUGCAAGUCGAACGGAAAGGCCCUGCUUUUGUGGGGUGCUCGAGUGGCGAACGGGUGAGUAACACGUGAGUAACCUGCCCUUGACUUUGGGAUAACUUCAGGAAACUGGGGCUAAUACCGGAUAGGAGCUCCUGCUGCAUGGUGGGGGUUGGAAAGUUUCGGCGGUUGGGGAUGGACUCGCGGCUUAUCAGCUUGUUGGUGGGGUAGUGGCUUACCAAGGCUUUGACGGGUAGCCGGCCUGAGAGGGUGACCGGCCACAUUGGGACUGAGAUACGGCCCAGACUCCUACGGGAGGCAGCAGUGGGGAAUAUUGCACAAUGGGCGGAAGCCUGAUGCAGCAACGCCGCGUGCGGGAUGACGGCCUUCGGGUUGUAAACCGCUUUCGCCUGUGACGAAGCGUGAGUGACGGUAAUGGGUAAAGAAGCACCGGCUAACUACGUGCCAGCAGCCGCGGUGAUACGUAGGGUGCGAGCGUUGUCCGGAUUUAUUGGGCGUAAAGGGCUCGUAGGUGGUUGAUCGCGUCGGAAGUGUAAUCUUGGGGCUUAACCCUGAGCGUGCUUUCGAUACGGGUUGACUUGAGGAAGGUAGGGGAGAAUGGAAUUCCUGGUGGAGCGGUGGAAUGCGCAGAUAUCAGGAGGAACACCAGUGGCGAAGGCGGUUCUCUGGGCCUUUCCUGACGCUGAGGAGCGAAAGCGUGGGGAGCGAACAGGCUUAGAUACCCUGGUAGUCCACGCUGUAAACGGUGGGUACUAGGUGUGGGGUCCAUUCCACGGGUUCCGUGCCGUAGCUAACGCUUUAAGUACCCCGCCUGGGGAGUACGGCCGCAAGGCUAAAACUCAAAGGAAUUGACGGGGCCCCGCACAAGCGGCGGAGCAUGCGGAUUAAUUCGAUGCAACGCGUAGAACCUUACCUGGGUUUGACAUGGAUCGGGAGUGCUCAGAGAUGGGUGUGCCUCUUUUGGGGUCGGUUCACAGGUGGUGCAUGGCUGUCGUCAGCUCGUGUCGUGAGAUGUUGGGUUAAGUCCCGCAACGAGCGCAACCCUUGUUCACUGUUGCCAGCACGUUAUGGUGGGGACUCAGUGGAGACCGCCGGGGUCAACUCGGAGGAAGGUGGGGAUGACGUCAAGUCAUCAUGCCCCUUAUGUCCAGGGCUUCACGCAUGCUACAAUGGCUGGUACAGAGAGUGGCGAGCCUGUGAGGGUGAGCGAAUCUCGGAAAGCCGGUCUCAGUUCGGAUUGGGGUCUGCAACUCGACCUCAUGAAGUCGGAGUCGCUAGUAAUCGCAGAUCAGCAACGCUGCGGUGAAUACGUUCCCGGG
rnacentral:rRNA from 1 species